UGCUAUGAUGGUGUAAUUUGCGUCUGAUCUUGUUGAAUGGCGACAGUUGCCUGCUGUCAUUAAGCCAUCACAGGGUAUUGAUGAGUGAUAAACUCUGAGCA